AAAAGGCUCUGAAACAGAUCCAAGAUGUUGUUUGAGCCAUGCAACUAGAAGAUCUCAUAGAACUAAAGUUAUCUAAUUUACAGAAAAGGUUUUACGUCAUGUCUAUUGUACAGAUUCAUAUGAAAACCAUAGUUCAAACUCCAAGGUUUAAGAAGUAAGAAAGAUCAUGCCAUUUGCAACAAACAUGAAUGCAUAUUUGAAAAGCAACUGUAAGUAUGCUAUUGGACAUUGGUAAAGAUUGAAUAUCUGACCAUGGCAUAUCAAAAAACCGUGGAAUGAGUACUGCUUAUCAAGAUCUGGGUGUGAGAAGACUUAAAAAGUCAGAUAGUCAGUGAGAACCAGCUAGAAUCCAUGAAUUGUGACCAAUAAGAAUCCCAGAGAAGUUCUGCCCUAAUGGAGUCAACUUGAUUUGAGAUGCAAAUGGAUUUGAGCAAUUCUGUUGUGGGAAAACUAGAAGACCAAAAAAAGCACAAAAGUCAAGAAAGAAGUCUCUUUUCACAUGAAAGUGGAAGACUCUCAGAGGGGAUUGCAAUGGUCACAUUUAGCUGUGCUAAUGGUUGAUCAAGAUAUCCUGAGUUUCCAGUAGAGAUGUUUCAGCUAUAACACGGGCCUGGUAGACAAAUAUAAAAUAUCGUAUGGGCCUGAAGACAAAUACCGCUAUGAAUGGUUACAUCUAGGACUUCUGAGAUUAGCCCCAGAUUCAACUCAUUUUUUUUUUUG
rnacentral:lncRNA from 1 species